AAUAUUUUCUAUUUUGAUUUUUACAGAAAACAUUUGCUGACUGCUGUUCUAUCUAGGACAUUCUUCAGUGUACAGAUGAUCGGAGUUCAUGUCAGUGUUCCUACAAGCUAACGACAGUAGAAUUCAAUAGAGAGCAACUGUGGAAGUCAAGGACAGAAAUCACCCACUGUGUCAUCUGAUACUCCUCUGAUUGUUAUACCUAUCCUCAAUGUUAAGGAAAUGAGACCAAUUGAAAUGUCCACAUUAAAAAAUAAGAAGAAGGAGAGAAGGUUUUCCAAUGGCAGGUCUCUGUUCC
rnacentral:lncRNA from 1 species